GUAGUCGUGGCCGAGUGGUUAAGGCGACAGACUAGAAAUCUGUUAAGAUUUUCCAGCACAGGCUCAAAUCCUGCCGACUACG
rnacentral:tRNA from 1 species